AUCAGAUCCCGCAGACGCUAAAGAAAGGGACUGUCAUUAAUGCAGCUGAUUGAGAGAGGAGAUGUGCGGGGCCAGUCCGAGGAAAGAAACUAACCCCCGAACAACAUUACGCCGCACGUCAGGAGGAGAAACCACCGUGGCUCGGACCGGGGGGGCCCGAUCCUGACACUGACGGUAUCCCGACUGGAGUGAGGGGGGAGAACACACAACCUUUCUGACUGGCUGCAGGGACAUAAAGAUGCAGGUCCUAUUCUGGGGCAGGAUCACGCCUACAGUAACACCUGGAGGGGUGGGGAAGGCCUGGCAGACCACAGACAAAGCGUGGAGUGUGCAGUGCUAUGCAGAGAGAAAUGAGUGGAGCCUCUGGCAAGACCGUUUCUUUAAACACGCUGCAUUUCCUGCUUAUAAUUCACGCCUUGCGUCAAUACACUGUAAAUAUACGGUUAAGUUAAGACGCAAGAUAAAGCUUAGACCCAAAGAGUCCUGCAGAUGAUAUUGUUGCCUCACAUACAUUCUGAGUCUACAGGCCUAUAGAGUCAAAUAACUAGGGGUGUAAAGAUGCAUUGAUCUUGAGAUGGUGAUUCAACUGCACUGAUUUGGAAUGUUAGAAUGCUAAUAAUCAAUGAUAAUCAUUUCAAUAAGGCUAUACAAUGUAACCUUUGUAAAAUUUACUUAUUUCAGAAGUAGUCCAAUGUUACUGGUUGUUAAAUGUCGGAUACAAGGUUAAAUAAAAAUUAAAUACUGUUGAAAA